rnacentral:rRNA from 1 species
UGCAAGUCGAGCGGAGAUGAGGUGCUUGCACCUUAUCUUAGCGGCGGACGGGUGAGUAAUGCUUAGGAAUCUGCCUAUUAGUGGGGGACAACAUUCCGAAAAGAAUGCUAAUACCGCAUACGUCCUACGGGAGAAAGCAGGGGAUCUUCGGACCUUGCGCUAAUAGAUGAGCCUAAGUCGGAUUAGCUAGUUGGUGGGGUAAAGGCCUACCAAGGCGACGAUCUGUAGCGGGUCUGAGAGGAUGAUCCGCCACACUGGGACUGAGACACGGCCCAGACUCCUACGGGAGGCAGCAGUGGGGAAUAUUGGACAAUGGGGGGAACCCUGAUCCAGCCAUGCCGCGUGUGUGAAGAAGGCCUUAUGGUUGUAAAGCACUUUAAGCGAGGAGGAGGCUACUGAGACUAAUACUCUUGGAUAGUGGACGUUACUCGCCGAAUAAGCACCGGCUAACUCUGUGCCAGCAGCCGCGGUAAUACAGAGGGUGCGAGCGUUAAUCGGAUUUACUGGGCGUAAAGCGUGCGUAGGCGGCUUUUUAAGUCGGAUGUGAAAUCCCCGAGCUUAACUUGGGAAUUGCAUUCGAUACUGGGAAGCUAGAGUAUGGGAGAGGAUGGUAGAAUUCCAGGUGUAGCGGUGAAAUGCGUAGAGAUCUGGAGGAAUACCGAUGGCGAAGGCAGCCAUCUGGCCUAAUACUGACGCUGAGGUACGAAAGCAUGGGGAGCAAACAGGAUUAGAUACCCUGGUAGUCCAUGCCGUAAACGAUGUCUACUAGCCGUUGGGGCCUUUGAGCUUUAGUGGCGCAGCUAACGCGAUAAGUAGACCGCCUGGGGAGUACGGUCGCAAGACUAAAACUCAAAUGAAUUGACGGGGGCCCGCACAAGCGGUGGAGCAUGUGGUUUAAUUCGAUGCAACGCGAAGAACCUUACCUGGCCUUGACAUACUAGAAACUUUCCAGAGAUGGAUUGG